rnacentral:rRNA from 1 species
AAUGAACGCUGGCGGCAGGCCUAAAACAUGCAAGUCGAACGCCUGUAGCAAUACAGGAGUGGCGCACGGGUGCGUAACACGUGGGCAUAUGCCUAUUGGUACGGAACAGCUCCGGGACACUGGAAUUAAUACCGUAUGGUCCCUUCGGGGUAAAGAUUUAUCGCCAAUAGAUUAGCACGCGGUGGAUUAGCUAGUUGGUAGGGGAAUGGCCUACCAAGGCGACGAUCCAUAGCUGGUCUGAGAGGACGAACGGCCACACUGGGACUGAGACACGGCCCAGACGCCUACGGGAGGCAGCAGUUAGGAAUAUUGGACAAUGGGCGCAAGCCUGAUCCAGCCAUGCCGCGUGGGUUAUGAAGGCCUUCGGGUUGUAAAACUCUUUAGCCGAUGAAUAUAAUGACUGUAGUCGGAAAAUAAGCCCCGGCUAACUUCGUGCCAGCCGCCGCCGUAA